ACAAAAGCCUCACAAAUUUAGACAGAAAAGACAAAGGAAUCAAAACAGCACGCACGCACGCACUUUUACAGUAUCUUCUCUUUUCAGUUCUCCACUUCACUUCUUUUUUCAAUUGCCUCACCUCCUCCCUUCCACGGCGGCGUUUAUCUCUCAUAGUUUCAACUGAAUCUGAACAGCCAUGUCAAUGUCUAUUCUGCAGCCAAAUUUCCAACAGUGCCCCUCCUCCUCCGCCUCCUUCACUUCCUCCACAUCUCUCUGCCCUUCCUUUUCGUCAUUUCGCAUAAUCACUCUAAAACCAUCAAUAUCACAUCUCAAACAGCAGCAGCGAGUUGUGUGUGGCGUAUCGCAAUCUCAAGUAUCAGUUGUUAAUGGCACAAUUGAUAACAAAGUCUCUGAGAGAAAUGAAAUCCGUCUCGGUUUGCCUAGUAAAGGCCGCAUGGCUUCCGAUACUCUCGAUCUCCUCAAGGAUUGUCAAUUGUCUGUCAAGCAGGUCAAUCCACGACAAUAUGUUGCACAAAUUCCACAGCUCUCCAACUUAGAAGUGUGGUUCCAGCGACCCAAAGACAUUGUACGGAAGUUGUUAUCUGGAGAUUUGGACCUUGGAAUUGUGGGUUUUGAUACAGUCAGUGAAUAUGGGCAGGGAAAUGAAGAUCUUAUCCUUGUUCAUGAUGCUCUUGAGUAUGGGGAUUGCCGUUUAUCUAUUGCAAUUCCCAAAUAUGGGGUUUUUGAAAAUAUAAAUUCCUUGAGGGAGCUAGCACAAAUGCCACGAUGGACUGCUGAAAAACCACUGCGAGUUGCAACAGGCUUCACUUACCUGGGUCCUAAAUUUAUGAAAGAAAAUGGUUUGGAGCAUGUAACAUUUUCAACUGCUGAUGGAGCACUGGAAGCUGCUCCUGCGAUGGGAAUAGCUGAUGCCAUUUUGGACCUUGUGAGUAGUGGGACAACACUGAGAGAAAACAAUCUUAAAGAAAUUGAAGGUGGGGUUGUAUUGCAGAGCCAGGCUAUUCUUGUUGCAAGCAGGAAGUCUUUGAUGCAAAGAAAAGGUGCCUUGGACACAGUACAUGAGAUUCUUGAAAGGUUGGAAGCACAUUUAAGGGCAGUUGGUCAGUUCACGGUUACUGCAAAUAUGAGAGGAAGUAGUGCAGCGGAAGUGGCUGAGCGUGUACUAAGCCAACCAUCGUUGUCUGGAUUGCAGGGGCCUACUGUAAGUCCAGUUUUCUGCAAGCGCGAUGGAAAGGUUACACCAGAUUACUAUGCCAUAGUCAUAUGUGUUCCAAAGAAGGCAUUGUACAAGUCCGUUCAGCAAUUGAGAGCAAUUGGAGGCAGUGGGGUUCUAGUUUCUCCUUUAACCUACAUUUUCGAUGAAGAGACGCCAAGAUGGCGCCAGCUUCUUUCAAAGCUUGGGCUGUAGAUCUCUGCGGUCAAUGAUGAUUGCUUCUCUUUAUGAACGUAUUGCUUCUUGAAAUACUUAGAUUGUUCUCAGGUACAUCUUCAACAUAGCACAGAAAGAAGCAGGUUUAAAAUUUUCUAAGAUGAGAAAGUGAAACCCUAGAAUUAUGCAAAUUCAUGUAAUGUGUGGCUGAGAUUGCGACUGUUCCUGAUGACGGUGGGUUGGAGAUAUGAUUUAUGGCCACAUGUAGAUCACAUGACCAACUAGUUGUAGAUGGAGCUUGGUGACUUGGAGCUGAGGUGGCAAGCAGCUCAAUAAUUUUUAUUUAAAUUUGUGGACAUAACAGAGAUGGAAAAAGAAUAUAUAUAUAUAUUCGGAAUAUGCUUUGCUAUAAAUAUUGUUGUCGCACUUGUAAAAGAUAAAAGACAUUAUUUAGACUCCAUAACAAUACUUGUGUAAAAAAAUUUAAAAACCUAAUUUUCAGAAUUGAUUUAUGGAUGGCACUUUGGAGGAAUAAUUAAAUAA